rnacentral:rRNA from 1 species
GACGAACGCUGGCGGCGUGCUUAACACAUGCAAGUCGAGCGGAAAGGCCCUUCGGGGUACUCGAGCGGCGAACGGGUGAGUAACACGUGAGUAACCUGCCCCAGACUUUGGGAUAACCCUCGGAAACGGGGGCUAAUACCGGAUACGACACAGCUUCGCAUGGGGUCUGUGUGGAAAGUUUUUCGGUUUGGUAUGGGCUCGCGGCCUAUCAGCUUGUUGGUGGGGUGAUGGCCUACCAAGGCGACGACGGGUAGCCGGCCUGAGAGGGCGACCGGCCACACUGGGACUGAGACACGGCCCAGACUCCUACGGGAGGCAGCAGUGGGGAAUAUUGCACAAUGGGCGGAAGCCUGAUGCAGCGACGCCGUGUGAGGGAUGACGACCUUCGGGUUGUAAACCUCUUUCAGCAGGGACGAAGCGUAAGUGACGGUACCUGCAGAAGAAGCGCCGGCCAACUACGUG